rnacentral:rRNA from 1 species
UGGGGAAUUUUGGGCAAUGGGCGAAAGCCUGAUCCAGCAAUGCCGCGUGUGUGAAGAAGGCCUUCGGGUUGUAAAGCACUUUUGUCCGGAAAGAAAUCCUUGGCUCUAAUACAGUCGGGGGAUGACGGUACCGGAAGAAUAAGCACCGGCUAACUACGUGCCAGCAGCCGCGGUAAUACGUAGGGUGCAAGCGUUAAUCGGAAUUACUGGGCGUAAAGCGUGCGCAGGCGGUUUGCUAAGACCGAUGUGAAAUCCCCGGGCUCAACCUGGGAACUGCAUUGGUGACUGGCAGGCUAGAGUAUGGCAGAGGGGGGUAGAAUUCCACGUGUAGCAGUGAAAUGCGUAGAGAUGUGGAGGAAUACCGAUGGCGAAGGCAGCCCCCUGGGCCAAUACUGACGCUCAUGCAGCGAAAGCGUGGGGGAGCAAACAGGAUUAGAUACCCUGGUAGUCCACGCCCUAAACGAUGUCAACUAGUUGUUGGGGAUUCAUUUCCUUAGUAACGUAGCUAACGCGUGAAGUUGACCGCCUGGGGAGUACGGUCGCAAGAUUAAAACUUAAAUGAAUUGACGGGGUCAUAGCUGUUUCCU